AACCUAACCCGUAGAUUCUGAGGAUUUGCGGUAUGGUCACAUAAAGCCCACGCGAGUAGAAACGGCCAUAUAAGCCGGCAUUCACUCGCGUGGGUCUGUACCUCGAAAGGGAUACAGGAUAGUUCCGAAAGGGCUAUC
rnacentral:sRNA from 12 species